AAGGCAGCGGGGGCACAGGGCAGCGGGGGCACAGGGCAAUGGGGGCACAGGCCCCUUCUCCCAGCACUACCUGCCUGGAGCAUCCUGCACUUGGUUCUUCCAGGAU